rnacentral:rRNA from 1 species
UUGCACGCUGGCGGCAUGCCUUACACCUGCAAGUCGCACGGUAACAGGUCUUCGGAUGCUGACGAGUGGCGAACGGGUGAGUAAUACAUCGGAACGUGCCCGAUCGUGGGGGAUAACGGAGCGAAAGCUUUGCUAAUACCGCAUACGAUCUACGGAUGAAAGCAGGGGACCGCAAGGCCUUGCGCGGACGGAGCGGCCGAUGGCAGAUUAGGUAGUUGGUGGGAUAAAAGCUUACCAAGCCGACGAUCUGUAGCUGGUCUGAGAGGACGACCAGCCACACUGGGACUGAGACACGGCCCAGACUCCUACGGGAGGCAGCAGUGGGGAAUUUUGGACAAUGGGCGAAAGCCUGAUCCAGCCAUGCCGCGUGCAGGAUGAAGGCCUUCGGGUUGUAAACUGCUUUUGUACGGAACGAAAAGACUCUUUCUAAUAAAGAGGGUCCAUGACGGUACCGUAAGAAUAAGCACCGGCUAACUACGUG